rnacentral:rRNA from 1 species
AACGAACGCUGGCGGCGUGCCUAACACAUGCAAGUCGAGCGAGAAAGUAGCAAUACGAGUAAAGCGGCGGACGGGUGAGUAACACGUAGGUAAUCUACCCUGAAGUGGGGAAUAACGUUUCGAAAGGAACGCUAAUACCGCAUACCAAUUUCAUUCGAUGGUUUGAAAUUGAAAGGAGGCUUCGCAAGAAGCUUUCGCUUUAGGAUGAGCCUGCGUCCCAUUAGCUAGUUGGUGAGGAACGGCUCACAAAGGCUUCGAUGGGUAGCUGGUCUGAGAGGACGACCAGCCACACUGGAACUGACACACGGUCCAGACUCCUACGGGAGGCAGCAGUGGGGAAGUAUUGCGCAAUGGAGGAAACUCUGACGCAGCGACGCCGCGUGAAGGAUGAAGUCCU